GAUGAACGCUGGCGGCGUGCCUAAUACAUGCAAGUCGAGCGAACAGACGAGGAGCUUGCUCCUCUGAUGUUAGCGGCGGACGGGUGAGUAACACGUGGAUAACCUACCUAUAAGACUGGGAUAACUUCGGGAAACCGGAGCUAAUACCGGAUAAUAUAUUGAACCGCAUGGUUCAAUAGUGAAAGACGGUCUUGCUGUCACUUAUAGAUGGAUCCGCGCCGCAUUAGCUAGUUGGUAAGGUAACGGCUUACCAAGGCAACGAUGCAUAGCCGACCUGAGAGGGUGAUCGGCCACACUGGAACUGAGACACGGUCCAGACUCCUACGGGAGGCAGCAGUAGGGAAUCUUCCGCAAUGGGCGAAAGCCUGACGGAGCAACGCCGCGUGAGUGAUGAAGGUCUUCGGAUCGUAAAACUCUGUUAUUAGGGAAGAACAAAUGUGUAAGUAACUGUGCACGUCUUGACGGUACCUAAUCAGAAAGCCACGGCUAACUACGUG
rnacentral:rRNA from 1 species